ensembl:lncRNA
AUGUUAGCGUGGUCACAGGUAGAUGUCUGCCGUGUGGGUCUUUCUCUCCCUCCCUCUCCCUGUGCAGGUUUGACCUGGGAAACAGGGAAUGCUCAUCAGCUGGCCGAAAUCCACAGGAUCCUGCUGGUGGCACAUGUGAUCCUCUGCCUUCCCAGUUCCAUCCGCCUUCUCAGAUUCAGGACCCUAUCUUCAUCUCCAGCCAACUCCACCCUCCGGACUAGUCCUCCACCCUCCUGCCUCACGUAAAGUGGAGAGUGAGUGAGUCCACUGCAUCUGCAAGUUUGACCUUGACUGGGAUGAAGACUGCAUCACCAUCAAAGGCCAUGCUUCUGCUACAGAUAAAGCCUGAGAAGAAAAAUUGCUUAGAUGCAGGUGUGAAAAUGUCGGCCCACUGCUCUGUUUGAAUGUGUUCAACUUUUCCACAAAUGCAAAAACUAUUAUUAAUACCACAAUAUAUACCUCUUAUUUAAAUGUUGUAGUAUGGCGUUUUAUUUUAUUACAUAGAGUAAUUCCCUGAGUACUGGCCUAGGUUAAAGUUAAAACCAAAAGUAAAUGCAGAUGGCCCGCAGGUGAAAUUAGAAAUGAAUUUCAUAUUCACACAAAGUUCAAUUAUAUUAUGGCUAAAGUUUUACAUAAUCAAUGGAGAGCCGUGUUGAGUGAUACGGUGGUCGGCGUUACUGUUGUAUGCCUAUUUAAAAAUAAUCACAGGUGUCGGAUGUUACUUUCUUCCAGGAGGCACAGUUUUUCACCAGACGAAAUGGGCAUUCCAAUUCAUGUCAUGAUUCACCUGAAAUACAGAUGCAUCUCGCUUCACCAAGCCAGUGGUUAGUGCUAGCCUAAGCUGCUAACACUUCCAAGCUGAGUCAGGGCUGGCCUUUUUAUUCAUGCAUCCAGGGGCCUACCUCUUCUAUAGCUCCAACCUGACACCCAAAUACGGUCUUCUUAUUGAAUAAAUACGGUCUUUAUUCAUGCAUCCAGGGGCCUACUUCUUCUAUAGCUCCAACCUGACACCCAAAUACGGGCUUCUUGACCUAAAAGGGCGUCAGCAAAAAGGCAAACUUCAAAACAAUAGUCCAAAUACAAAUGGGUUAUGUCCCGACAUGACAGAUGUAACAGGCUCUGCUGUAUACUGUGUGCAACGCACGUGCGCAAAUAGACCCCUAAUGGUGCUCAAGCACCUGCCCCUUUUCCCUCGGUAGAGAAAAGUGUCAAUUCCCCCAAAAUGUGUUUUGAUAUCUGGCGGGGCAUUCGAGUUCUUGUGGGAAUUUCGCCCCAACAUGCUCCGCAGUGCUCACAAGCCCCACCGCGCACCUCCAUCCUCCUCCCUCCUGCUCUUCCUCCACUUAGUGCUCAUGCGAUGCUCAGUGCCAAACGGCUGCAGCAUCAGAGGUAAUGAUGGUGUUCGUACAAUUCCCCGAGGCUGUUUGUUGAUAAAAUAACCACAACAUUAACGUCACUGAAAACAUUACGUCGCAACUGGUCCAACAUUUCCUAGAAAAUAAACAAACGAAAAACAUUGAAUAUCCGUGAUUUCAAAGCCCUGUCCAGCUGUUUACUGAUGUUUGUCAUGUUUAAUGAAGAGAGAGAGGGAGAGAGAUGCAGACAGACAGACAGGCAGAGCAUUUAAAGGCAAUUUUACUGUUCGACAAAAUUAGACAAGUUCACAAGUAAUUUAAUUAUUGAAAUGAAAAGGUAGGUCUUAAGUUGAGCUACUUGACGGUCUGGUGAGGUGUUUUGGUGUGUUGUCAGCUUUAUAGAGAGUAUGUAAGUCACUCUUGAUUAUCAUGCAAAACAUUGAUUUAUCUCGUUUACAAAAUUUGCAGCAUAAUGCCCAGAAAAGAGACUCCAAAAAAAGCACAGGUAACUGCAUCACUGCAACAGUAACUGCAGCAGCGCGACUGAUUGGUAAUUUCAGUUUUAAGCUCAAUUGCAAUGGCAAUUGCAAAAAAAAGACCGGAAACUCCGCAAAUGACCUGUUUUGGGCAAUGCAAGCUUUAGGACACCUUUUAGCUUAGGAGGACAAUUCAAGCAACGUCAUGAGCGAUGUGAAUGAAUGAGACGGUACGAGAUCUUGCAAGGAGACCUGGAAUGUUUUCAGACGAAUGAAUGUCGAUCUCCUAGCUAAUCAUCAACAAACUCCUGGUACUAGGCUAACAAACGCAAUAUUUCAAUUGCUGUGUGUCUGUUAGCCAAUCAGAUCGCGUUUAUGCCCACGUCUAAAGAGCACGAAGCUGAAAAAUAAAAGAUGGUGGACCAAACUCGUAGAAUAGGUCCCUGCUCCAUCUCGCCAUCAGUUUGGACCCCUGGUAUUGAUGAUAAAGUUCAGCCUCUCGUACCUUAUUGCUUGAGUACAAUAUAGCCUUGUUUUGCCUGUUAUUCAUUUAUUUAUUCAAUUUGAGUUAGUUUGUUAACAAAAAUAAAUAUGUAAGUUUAAAAUAUCGUACUAUUUUUUAUUUAUUUAUUAUUAUUUUUAACUUGGCAAUGGGUGCCCUUUUGGUUUGAAUUUUACACACUAAACUAAGAUGAGAAAAAAUGUGAUAUUUUUUCUGAUUAAGAAGUAAACCUACACAUUCUGCACAAUUUUAGUUUCAAGCAGUCUAUUGGUAGUUAGUUAACAUGCUACCAAACUGAUUAUAGGUACAAGCUAAUAAUAAGAUAUAUACGCUAUUUUAUUGAACAAGUAACUUAACUCAAAUAAUGAUGUGUGCACUAGGCAUCUUUUCUGUGCACUUUUGCGAAAACAGCAGUUUUAUGCCACCGUUUGACCAUGGAAACAGUGGCAGACAACUGAAAACGCAUCAACUCUAAAAUGAGUUGAGAAUAAAUAAAUAAAUGAAAUCCAUCUUUAAACCACUUAUUCUGGGGGGGUGCUCAAGUCAAUCCCAGCCAAUGGAUUGGUUGUGGAAGUUGCGUUUGGAAUGAAAGGCAAUUCCGCGAGUUGAGAACAGCAGCGUGUGUCUCGUUUAUUUUUUACCAUAACAUCCAACUCUAAAGAUGGCGCAGCCCUGUAACCUCACAAGCAAGGUUCUCUACGUCACAACAUAACAAAACAUUUAAAGGGACCGUGAUCCCGGAACAGUCGCAAUUGCGUGUACAACAAAACAAGAACAAAGGUGAAUUAUGCAGUCACAUUCACUAC